CUUUUGAAAAUUGAUAUCAAAGCAUAUGAAUUUGAUCUUAUGGCGAGAUUAAAAUAGGGCGGUGUGUUAAGCAAUUCAGAUUUGAUUUGAUUUGCUUGAGAGUCAAGACGGACUUUGGUAAAAGCGGUGGACUUGUACCGUAGAAUAUUGUCAACUCUGUAUCCGCAUUGAGCGGCAAAAUAUGUUAUUGUACAGUGCUGAAGUUGGGUAAUAGUGAAUUAAUCUAGUAAUUUGUGUUACAAUAUCUGUCAACAUCAAGAAUAGUAGCGGCUUUAGUGUAUUUACGGACAAAUACAAUUAUUCCAUAUUUUUGCUCGGGAUGUAAUAAUAAAAACACUGUGACUGAGGCAAGGGCUUAUUGUAAAAAGUGUGACUCUUGAUUUUGUGACGAACGUGUAAUUAUACACAAUCAAUUGUUAUAAAACCACCCCAAUUUUGGGCCUAAAGAAAUGGAGAUGUGGCCAAUUGCCAAGGCAACACGGGGGUUUCUGGAGAACUGUCAAUGCCACAGGGGGAAGAAACUUAAAUAUUUCUGUGAGGACCACAGCAAACUGUGUUGCAGUGUUUGCAAUCAAGUGACUCUUCGGUAUUCAGUGUACAAAAGCUGACAUUCAUUGCUGACACCUCUCUGUCUGCAACAGACCAUCAGCAGCUGUCAGCCAAGAUUAACACCAUUCGAAAACAACUAAGAAGCAGCAAACAAACUGAGAGAGCAACCUGAAGUCACUGCAAGUGUCAUAUGAAGAAAGGCUUAAAGAGGUGGAAAGUAUGAGAGAGAGAAUAAAUGCCACCUUAGAUAAGCUGGAGAAGGCUAUUCUGAAAGAAAUGGAUGAACUGAAAGCAAGCUGGGAUGCCUCCCUCAAGUUUGAUGUUGAUACAUGCUCCAGGCUUCGUACUGAGCUGACACGUCUCAGUAUUGCGAUGCAGGAAGUUGGCAAAAAGGACAAAGAAUUGGCCUUUAUAGCCCAUCAGAAAAACAAGGAGAUGAUAAAACAAGUAGACAUAUACCUGAACAACAUCCAACACAAACAGAAGUUUCUUUAAAAUUGAUUGUUUACAAUGACAUUGAAUUUUUUUUAUCCAACCUGUCGUGUCUUGGUCAUACCAUACACAUUACCAAGGUAUUGACCAUGCAGGGGAGCCCAGACCAGGCUAUCAUAGUCACAGGGGCAACUCCAGUAAGUGUGAGAAUACCAAGGGAUACUAGUGCGUUCUAUUAUAUCCAAGGAAUUUGUGGUCUGUUCAAUGGUCAGCUGCUUGUUACAGAUUAUGAAAACAAGAGACUGAAGCUGGUGGACCUGCAGCUCCAAGUGGUCAGUAAUUGUGAUAUGUCUGGCUAUCAAUUGGACAUGUGUCUGAUUACACCCUGUCAGGUAGCAUUCGCUGUGGACAGUUGUAUAUAGUUUGUCACAGUGAACAAUGGACAACUGAUGAAAGGCAGAAAACUACAGUUACCACAUGAAUGUAGAGGACUUGCUCCUCAUCAGGGGGACCUCUAUGUAACCUCUGGCAAAGCCCUGUUCAAGUAUGAUCUCACUGGCACACUUGUGGAAAAGAUGCACAGGGAUACAUCUAGUAUUGUGACAGUAUGGAGAUGUGCAUUGAGUCUUAGUGGUGACAGGAUCUAUGUUACCAACAAAAGCCAACACAAGCUCCUCACCCUGGCCAGGGAUUGGACUGUUAUCUCCACCUUCACUGACUCAGAACUACAAGGCCCAUGGGGAGUUCAUGUGACGCCUGCAGGACAAGUGCUUGUAUGUUAUCAAUCAUCAAAAACUGUCAUACAGGUGGACAGAGAGGGCAAGAAAAAGAUUGCUACACUGGCUACAGAGAAGGAUGGACUCAAAUCUCCUUGGACAGUCUUCUAUAACUGGAAAUCUGGUAAUGUCAUUGUAGGACAUUACAGUGAACACAUUCUGGUGUUUAAGUGUAAAUGAAAUCAAUUUUCUCUGAAAACACCAUUAUUGUUUACAUUUUAAAUACCAAUAUAUCUUUUAAGAUUAUUGCCAUUUUAUUUGUUGCUUUAAAUAAAAUAAGAUGCCAAUGUUGUUGUGAACAUGUAACAUUUCAUAAUAAUAAGAGUGGACUAACAGUACAAGCAUUUAUUUAAAUAACAAGCUAAAAGAUGAUUUUGCAUUCACUGUGAAACUCUUCAGUGUAUAUAACAUUGGCAGUGUAACUGUUCAUUGAAAUUUAUAAUCAUAUUGAGGUAAAUUGUAUUGUAACAUUCUUAUAAUUAAUUUUUAUUAUCUGCUUCAUUAUAUAUAAAUUAAGUAAGCAUUUUGUACUGUUUAUCACUUUGUUGAUAAAGGAAGCAUCAUUUUGAGAUACUUAUUUUUUAUAUUUAUUUGUUAAAGUGCCCAAAUGCAUGAUAAUAAAUUAUUUUCCCUCAGCACAAAAAUACACCAACAGUUGUAAAAUGUUACCCUUUCUACUUUUGGGAAUACAACAAUGCGAAUCUUCCCAAGUAUUAGUGAAAUACCUGUUUAAUGUUAAAAAUACGGAUGUUCAUUACCAAUAGAAUCUUUUUCUGUUAUCUUGUAUUGUAAAUUAUAUAGUAUAUCCCUUAAUAUAUAUCCAAGUAAGUUGUACAUUGUAAUUUUUAUAUUCUUCUAAUGUUGAAUUUUCAGUUGUGGUUGAUCUUCCAAUACUGUAGUAUGUGCCUAAGAUAUAUUACUAAAGAUAGUAUGUAUUUAUGUUUGUUUUGCUUCAAGUUCAAUAUAAUCGUGUCUUCCUAAAUAGAUAUGCAAACUGACAUCAUAUGUUAACGUCAAACUAGACGAAAAGAAUGCACCAAGUAAUGGACAAUUGCUCGUUUCGCAGAUUAGUUAUGUCUUUGUCAUGCAUGCGGCCAAUUGAUUGUUGUAUAAUCUCAUUUAAAUGGCGGGCUAACGUCCAUAUACGUCCUUUGCAUGCGUCAUAUUACGUCGUUACCUUUGGGCAUGUGAUUGUGCACAUGUUCCCGUUGGAAAUUGCACAUGUCACCAUCGAGUGUUCCAAUCUAUAUUAAUAUAUUCAAUUUCAGUACCAUGCAUACAGCCGGACAUUUGCAGUCACACAUUUUGUUUUUGUCAGUGUUGUCUUAUAUUUUACAAACAUGUGCAAACAAUGUGUUUGAAUUUAAUCAGCAAAAAUAAAUCACAGUGAAAACUGAAA